UCAAGAGUCAUAUACAGAUGGCAACAAGCCAUAGCUCCAAAUAUGGCUUUAGUCAAGAAGAUGCUAGUGUUCGUGAACUUUGCAUACACUAUUUUGGUUCUAAAUUACUCAUGUGUUGGUUUCAUGGUAUUAAGCUUGCAUGAAACAAUUGCUGCAUAUGGUAGUGUAUAUUACAUUGGCACCAUUCUGCCCAUAAUAUUGAUCCUCCUUGGCUACAUAAUUAAACCAUCAAGGCCUGCGAGGUCUAAAGCUCGGAAGGACCAGUGAGGUAGAAACCGCUGCUUCUCCUGCUUCAAGUGCUUGAUAUGAGAUAAGAAGAAUGACAGAUGACAAGCAAUUUCAUCAGCGGUUAAUUUGUAACAUUUUAUUUUUAUCCCAGAAAUUUUUACUACUGCCAAAUUUUAAUGUCAACUUUUUCCCAUUUUCAAUUAGCAAUCGUUUUGAGUUUGUUCACAAUCAUAGUGUAGGCAGAGGAUGAUCAUAAAUAUAUUUGUACGAGAAGAGUUUGCGCACACCCCUAAAAUGGGAAACACUGCUCUUAGCCUGGGAGAAUGCCUCGCAGACAGUCCAGGCCUCACGAUGAGAUAGAUUUUGUAGAGAAAUCUCAGCAAUUUUUUUUUUUUUCUUUUCUAUCAAAAUAUCGAAUUUGGCCAGAAAUAAGUUGAUUAUGACAGGGGAAACAUAU
rnacentral:misc_RNA from 1 species